AGAGUUUGAUCCUGGCCCAGAAGGAGCGCUAGCUAUAUGCUUAACACAUACAAGUCGAACGUUAUUUUUGGGGAGCUGGGCAGAAGGAAAAGAGGCUCCUAGAUAAACGUAGCUUGUCUCGCCCAGGAGGUGAGAAGAGUUGAGAACAAAGUAGCAAACGGGUGCAUAACGCGUGGGAAUCUGCCAAAUAGUUCAGGCCAAAUCCUGAAGAAAGCUAAAAACACAGUUUCAUGAGCCUGCGUAGUAUUAGGUAGUUAGUUAGGUAAAGGCUGACCAAGCCAAUGAUGCUUAGCUGGUCUUUUUGAAUGAUCAACUACACUGGGACUGAGACACAGCCCAAACUCCCACGGGGGCAGCAGUGGGGAAUCUUGGACAAUGGGCAAAAGCCCGAUCCAGCAAUAUCACAUGAGUGAAGAAGGGUAAUGCCGCUUGUAAAUCUCUUUUGUCGAGUGCUGCGGUAAGAUGGGGGGGGCAAGUGUUCUUCGAAAUGACUGGAUGUAAAGGGCACGUAGGCGGUGAAUCAGGUUGAAAGUGAAAGCCGCCAAAAACUGUCGGAAUGCUCUCAAAACCAAUUCUCUUAAGUGAGACAGAGGAGAGUGGAAUUUCAUGUGUAGGGGUAAAAUCUGGAGAUCUACAAAGGAACGCCAAAAGCGAAGACAACUCUCUAGGUCCCUACAGAUGCUGAGGUGCGAAAGCAUGGGGAGCGAACAGGAUUAGUUACCCUGGUAGUCCAUGUCGUAAACGAUGAGUGUUUGCCCUUGGUCUACGCAGAUCAGGGGCCCAGCUAACGCAUGAAACACUCCGCCUGCGGAGUAUGGUUGUAAGACCGAAACUUAAAAGAAUUGACGGGGGCCUGCACAAACGGUAAAGCAUGUGGUUUAAUUUGAUACAACGCGCAAAACCUUACUAGCCCUUGACAUAUGAACAAGAAAACCUGUCCUUAACGGGAUGGUACUGACUUUCAUAUAGGUGCUGCAUGGCUGUUGUCAGCUAUUGUCAUGAGAUGUUUGGUCAAGUCCUAUAACGAGUGAAACCCUCAUUUUGUGUUGCUGAGACUUGCGCCUAAGGAGAGAGUCUUUGAAAUCGAAGUUACCUAAGGAACCGAGUGAUGUGCCAGCGCUACUAAUUGAGUGCCAGCACGUAGCUGUGCUGUCAGUAAGAAGGUAGCCGACACCUUUUAAAGCACUUUCUAUUUCUAUUUAGCGCUCUUUUUUUAUUGUAGCUAGCGCGCUUGACUAAUGAUGAUAGAAAGGGAAUUUGUCGCUUGUUUAGUAAAGUCGAUGUUUUUGGUAUUAUCUUACAGGUGAAGACGACGUUGAUUUGAUGGCAGAGAAAGACUCGACAUUUAGGCAAGACUCCCGAUGGUGUGGUACGUAGUGGGUUUAGUACACCCCUCCCAAACAAACGGCU
rnacentral:rRNA from 1 species